rnacentral:SRP_RNA from 1 species
GCUGGACGUGGUGGUGUAUGCCUCUAAUCCCAGCUAUCCAGGAAUCUUAGGCUAGAGGAUUCCUUGAGCUCGGGACAUCUGAGCAGCAGGGGGCUAGGCUCAUAAAAUGGCCACACUGCAUUCAGCAUUAAUAUAGUAAGUGCAUGGUAGCAAGGGGUCACCAGGUUGCCUAAGGAGAAGUGAAUUUGCCCAGGCUGGAAAAGCAGCAGGUCAAAAUAAAAUCCCCUUGCUGAUCAACAACAGGAAUAGGCUUGUGAUUAGUCUCUGCCAUUCCAGCCUGGGCAAGGUAGAGAAGCUGAAUCUCA